rnacentral:rRNA from 1 species
ACAGAGGCCUCAAGCGUUAGGCGGAAUCACUGGGCUUAAAGCGUGUGUAGGCGGAUCGUUAAGUGCCUUGUGAAAUCCCACGGCUUAACUGUGGAACGGCUGGGCAUACUGGCGGUCUUGAGCCAUCUAGGGGCGACUGGAACAAACGGUGGAGCGGUGAAAUGCGUAGAUAUCGAGAGGAGCACCUGCGGCGAAGGCGGGUUGCUGGGCUGACACUGACGCUGAUUGUGCGAAAGCUAGGGGAGCGAACGGGA